rnacentral:rRNA from 1 species
CCCUUAGAUGUUCUGGGCCGCACACGCGCUACACUGGCAGGUUCAUCGAGCUUCAUGCCCUGAUCUGAGAAGAACGGGAAAUCUUUGAACACCUGCCGUGCUUGGGAUAGAUGUUUGCAAUUAUUCAUCUUCAACGAGGAUUGCCUUGUAAGCGCACGUCAUCAGCGUGCAUUGAAUACGACCCUGUAUUCUGUACACACCGCCCGUCGCUCCUACCGAUUGAAGUUUUCGGUGAAUUUACUGGAGAUCCCUUUUGAAGGUGGUUCGCCACUGGAAGAAGUAUUCAAAAGUAAAUGAAUCGAGUGCUUUAGAGGAAGGAGAAGUCGUAACA